rnacentral:rRNA from 1 species
CCCAAACCCAAUGUGAACGUUACCAAACUGUUGCCUCGGCGGGAUCUCUGCCCCGGGUGCGUCGCAGCCCCGGACCAAGGCGCCCGCCGGAGGACCAACCAAAACUCUUAUUGUAUACCCCCUCGCGGGUUUUUUACUAUCUGAGCCAUCUCGGCGCCCCUCGUGGGCGUUUCGAAAAUGAAUCAAAACUUUCAACAACGGAUCUCUUGGUUCUGGCAUCGAUGAAGAACGCAGCGAAAUGCGAUAAGUAAUGUGAAUUGCAGAAUUCAGUGAAUCAUCGAAUCUUUGAACGCACAUUGCGCCCGCCAGUAUUCUGGCGGGCAUGCCUGUCCGAGCGUCAUUUCAACCCUCGAACCCCUCCGGGGGGUCGGCGUUGGGGAUCGGCCCUUUACGGGGCCGGCCCCGAAAUACAGUGGCGGUCUCGCCGCAGCCUCUCCUGCGCAGUAGUUUGCACACUCGCAUCGGGAGCGCGGCGCGUCCACAGCCGUUAAACACCCCAAACUUCUGAAAUGUUGACCUCGGAUCAGGUAGGAAUACCCGCUGAACUUAAGCAUAUCU